GGCAAGGAGAAAUUAUUCACAUUUAUGACAAAGAAGGGGAAAACUAUAGAAACUGUUUGGAUUAAACAUUAAAAAAUUUUACUUUGUGAAAGACUAUUAGAUUAAGGAGCUGCUGGAUAAUCCCUAGCUUCUUGAUUUACACACUUUAAUCUGACUGCAACUUUGGUGAACCUUUAUUGGACUUGAGAAUAUUUUCAUCAUGACGGAAGCGAGGAAGACGAUAUUUGCUGUGAUCGUUGAUGUUGUCUGCGUAGGUGUUAUCUUCCUACCUGUCAUAAUAUUGGACGCAAUAGGUGAUCCCUACUCGAGAGGAUUUUUCUGCAACGAUGACACCAUUCGACACCCA